UGGAUGUUAUACUUAAAAUCAAGUGCAACUUCUACUUAAUGCCUUUAAGACAAAAGUUAGUGAUAUUGUAAAGCUCUCCCCCCUUUACUUUCAGCAUAUUUAAGAUGUAAAACAUGUUGCCCCCACCCCCUUCCUGCAAAGGGAAUGUUUCUCCACCCCAGCUACCUGGAGCCUGGGACAGUACACUGUACCUUGCUGAUAAAGAGGCUAGAGAAACUGCCAUUCUAUAAAUAAUCUCCUUGGCAUGGUUGUAACGGAGACCUUUGCUCCUGACACUGCAUUUAUUAUGCAACCUAUCCCCCAGCAGUUUUCAGAUCUGUUUCCUUGUUCGGUUUCAGAUCACAUUUCUAGCAUUGGCAUCUGGCUUUGCAUAAAACAACUUCUUAGUCUCCUAGGAGGACUCUAAUUACUUGCACAAAGCCUCUGGCCCCUUAGUACAGAUUAAAGGCUUUCUGUAACAUUCCCAGAGCUGUAGGAGGUAUUAAAAUGGACUGCAUUUCUUCCUCAGUCCAGGUUACUAAAUUGCUUCUCCAUUAGUCAUUGCUGUUGUGCUCCAUGUCUUUUAGUUUUCUUUUAAAACUUUGGCUUCAGUUCUAGCUUGAGAGAGAGAGAGUAUGUUGGAAUAAGGGAUAGCAAAUAGCCCAGCACCCAGGCAUGGGUACCCUUCCUUUCAAGCUAGAUCAGAAGCCA